AAAUGAAUAGACGGGGGCCCGCACAAGUAGCGGAGCAUGUGGUUUAAUUCGACGCAACGCGAAGAACCUUACCUGGGCUUGACAUCCCAAGAAUCCUGUGGAAACACGGGAGUGCCCUUCGGGGAACUUGGAGACAGGUGGUGCAUGGUUGUCGUCAGCUCGUGUCGUGAGAUGUAGGGUUAAGUCCCGUAACGAGCGCAACCCUUGUCAUUAGUUGCUACCAUUAAGUUGAGCACUCUAAUGAGACUGCCUGGGCAACCAGGAGGAAGGUGGGGAUGACGUCAAAUCAUCAUGCCCCUUAUGUCCAGGGCUACACACGUGCUACAAUGGUUGGUACAAAGAGAAGCGAGACCGCGAGGUGGAGCCAAUCCCAUAAAACCAAUCUCAGUUCGGAUUGUAGGCUGAAACUCGCCUACAUGAAGCUGGAGUUACUAGUAAUCGCGAAUCAGAAUGUCGCGGUGAAUGCGUUCCCGGGCCUUGUACACACCGCCCGU
rnacentral:rRNA from 1 species